rnacentral:rRNA from 1 species
UACAGAGAGUGCAAGCGUUAAUCGGAAUCACUGGGCGUAAAGCGCGCGUAGGUGGAUAUCUAAGUCGGAUGUGAAAGCCCUGGGCUUAACCUAGGAACUGCAUCCGAUACUGGGUAACUAGAGUAUGGUAGAGGGAAGUGGAAUUUCCGGUGUAGCGGUGAAAUGCGUAGAUACCGGAAGGAACACCAGUGGCGAAGGCGACUUCCUGGACCAAUACUGACACUUAGGUGCGAAAGCGUGGGGAGCAAACAGG